rnacentral:lncRNA from 1 species
AGGCCUCUCCAUCCUGAUAGCGAGGGAGGCCUCAUCGGGUUUGACCCCGGCAUGCUUUGACACCUUUUUCACUGUUGGAAGAUGCUCUGACUUUAAAGUAGAAAGCAGACUUGACUGAAGCUGAUUGACACAGGUCAAGGGGACUUCAAGGAAGAAAGCCAGCCUUAGACUGACAUCAGAGAACCAAACUCCGGUGUCUAAGCUCAAGCCUUGCGUGGAUGAAACAGUCCCAACGAACACUUUAAAAAGACAAAUGUUCCCGACAGCACUGGUUGAAUUCAAAACUCGGCAGAUCCAUGUUCUUAUCCUUAGACAAGAGAGGGGCCAUAACAAGAUGGAAUGACGGAACAGACGUGAGAGAUGAUGUCCACCCAGAGGGUCUGCACUUCUCGGAGCCAGAAGGUGGAGAAGAGUAGGGAUGGAGGAAGUUCGAAGUUUUAGGAGUCUGCUCUUGGGUCCCUAGGCAUGAGGACAAGCUUUUCCUGUACUCAAUGCUCAUCUCUCAGUUGUGCCCACAUUGGUACACAUUACUUGCUUUCAACUGCUGCUGCUGCUGUUUCCUAAUUCAAUAAAGAUAUGGCUGGCUCAGCAGAGAGCUGUCAUCCA